rnacentral:rRNA from 1 species
UACGAAGGGGGGCGAGCGUUGUCCGGAAUUAUUGGGCGUAAAGAGCUCGUAGGCGGCCUGUCGCGUCGGAUGUGAAAAUCCAAGGCUCAACCUUGGACCUGCAUUCGAUACGGGCAGGCUAGAGUUCGGUAGGGGAGACUGGAAUUCCUGGUGUAGCGGUGAAAUGCGCAGAUAUCAGGAGGAACACCGGUGGCGAAGGCGGUUCUCUGGGCCUUACCUGACGCUGAGGAGCGAAAGCAUGGGGAGCAAACAGG